rnacentral:rRNA from 1 species
ACGAACGCUGGCGGCGUGCCUAAUACCUGCAAGUCGCACGCUUCUUUCCUCCCGAGUGCUUGCACUCAAUUGGAAAGAGGAGUGGCGGACGGGUGAGUAACACGUGGGUAACCUACCCAUCAGAGGGGGAUAACACUUGGAAACAGGUGCUAAUACCGCAUAACAGUUUAUGCCGCAUGGCAUAAGAGUGAAAGGCGCUUUCGGGUGUCGCUGAUGGAUGGACCCGCGGUGCAUUAGCUAGUUGGUGAGGUAACGGCUCACCAAGGCCACGAUGCAUAGCCGACCUGAGAGGGUGAUCGGCCACACUGGGACUGAGACACGGCCCAGACUCCUACGGGAGGCAGCAGUAGGGAAUCUUCGGCAAUGGACGAAAGUCUGACCGAGCAACGCCGCGUGAGUGAAGAAGGUUUUCGGAUCGUAAAACUCUGUUGUUAGAGAAGAACAAGGACGUUAGUAACUGAACGUCCCCUGACGGUAUCUAACCAGAAAGCCACGGCUAACUACGUG